rnacentral:rRNA from 1 species
GGUGGCGCCGUGGAGGGAGUGGGGGUAACAGGGGGGGGGCAAGGUUGGUUGGGAUGGAUGGGGCGGAAAGGGCUCGUAGGUGGCUUUGUAAGUCGGAGGUGAAAUCCCAUGGCUCAACCAUGGACACGCCUUCGAAACUGUGAAGCUUGAGGCUGGGAGAGGAGAUCGGAAUUCCUGGUGUAGCGGUGAAAUGCGUAGAUAUCAGGAGGAACACCGGUGGCGAAGGCGGAUCUCUGGACCAGUUCUGACACUGAUGAGCGAAAGCCAGGGGAGCAAACAGGAUUAGAUACCCUUGUAGUC